ACUUAACUGCUACACCAUCGGGCAGACCCCCAUCCCUCUUUUUUUUUUCUUUGCAGAAAUACUUUAAAGGAAAUUAUAGAUAUCACGGCAUUUCACUCCCAAAGACUUCAUUUGUGCAUAUCUAAAAAGUAAGGACAUUUUCCUACAUAACCAGAAUGCCAUUAUCACGCCUACAUAAUGAACAAUUAAUUCCCUACGACCCAGGCCACAGUCUAAUUUCUCCAGUUGGAAUCUAAUUUCUUGAUCAUAUCUUUAAGUCUCCAUUCUGUCGUCAGUGACAGUACACAUGUCUUCUUAAAUGAAAGCUACCCCUAAAGUGGUUAAUUCCAACCAGGUCUGCUAAGGACGCAGCACCCUCCCUGGACUGCUGCAAGCCCAUUAUCUGACGGACCAUCAGGUUUCAUCCAGCCUUGCUCUUACACCUACUGGGGACGUCAUGUUAAAUCAAACACGGAUGAGAACAGGAUAGAAGAUCCGGUGGAAUUUCAAAUAGAUAUUUUCCCUCAAGAAUCAGUGUGCACUGGGGAGCAAAGAGAGUGAGACGAGGAGACUACAAAACCCUAAAUAUAAUCACAUAGUUUAAAAGGGGUUGUUUUGCUUAAUCAUUCAGUACAGGUCUCUAGAGCUCAAUCGACACAAGAUGCAAAGCUGGUAAUUUUCUAUAGAGUCAAAUUCAUUGAAAUGCAGAGAAAAAAAUUCACUUUUCCUUCAAUCAUUUAGUUAACUCGGUAAAAGCGAAAUUAUAAUAAUCCACGGAGGGGUGUGUGGAAUAACUAGAUUUUUGGAUGUCCUGGGAGUGAGGAGUACAGAGGUUCUUUGAGGGGUUGGGGGAGGAGACUGGAAGCUGACCUGACAUACGGUUUAAGUCGUGCUCAGUCACGCAGACCAGGGCGACAGGUCUCACUUCUCCUUUUGUAGGAAAUAAUCAGAAUAGAGAAAAUAGGUAAUUGAAUUAAGAUUAUCAUGUCUCUCCAAUUCCAUCUGCAAGCUGCUUGCUUUUCUAGAAAUGAGAAGGGCUUCUAUAUAUGACUCUCUCAAAAACUGGUGCAAACCAGGGAAGACGGUCAAAGGUGGUGCGGGCUCUGACACUCGCAGCCGUCCUGAGGGCAGCUCUUCCAGGCUGAUCAGGGUGAGAACAUUGCUUGGGGCAGCUAACCAACAUUCUUUCUCAACCUUUACCUUCUAUAUCUUCUCCUUUGGCCUGAAUCCACAAAGCCACCUACAAAUGUGUACUAUUAUUAUUUUUAAAUUGUUAUUUUUAUUGAUUUACAUAUGACUGAACUCAUUAAGGAAAUCCAAAUUUUGCUUUUUGCACUGAGGUUCAACUAUGUGGGGAAAAGGUAAAGAUACCUCUUCUUUGCCCUGUAACCAGAGCAUAUCAUAUUAUGCUUUUCUCUGUUAUUUCUUCUUUAAUAAGGGAACUAUGACAAAAAUAUGGAGUAGAAAAUAUUGACUGGUAGUAUCAGAAUUGAGUGAGGCAUGCCCUUCAACACUCAGCCAUAUGCCACUCCCUUAAGAAGCUUGUUCUCAAAGACGUGCCAAUGUGCCCACGUAUACAUUUACAAAAAUGUAUGCGUAGAAAUGUUUACAUUUGAUGCGCUAUGAUAAUUUAUGUAGCGGAAGUCAAAGUGAACUACUUCCAAAAUGGGACCAAAGGGCAGGAUGGGAAACUAGAAUGCAAAGACAGUCCUCAUUCUCUUCCUUUGGUCACCAAAAACUUUCCAGAAAAAUCGAGAGAUAACGUAGUUGUUGGCCAUUGCCCCUUACUACUCUUUUGCAUAAAGCCUUUAAAGCAAGAAAAAUGGCAAAUAUGCAAGAAGGAGAGAAAAGCUGAAAAGGAUCUACGGUGAUCUCAAAACUCGGAAAUCCAUCCUUGACUCUGACAUUGGCUGCAGAACCACUCAAGGCACGUGCAGAUGGACAGACAGGCUGUACACGCAUCCUUGCUCACGUGAUCAUCCCUGUUGACACUUUCCUGCUCUCACUCAAUGCCAUAUUACAAGAAACAACCUCAAAAUAAACACACACAACACACUGCAGACAACUUUACACGCCCCAUAGGGAAGGGAUUUAUCUUUCCUCUAAAGAAUUCCUCUCAAAUGCAGUUUAUGACCUAAACAGUUCUGUAUUAUGCCAUCCUUUACAGGCAUUCCACUGUCCGAGAAACAGAAUGCCAGCAUCACUCACUCAUCUGAGAAAUACUUAUUGAUUACCUCUACAUGCCUGGUAGUAGAAACACGGGUCUUUAAAGUUGGAAGGGUCCUCAGAGAUCAUCUAAUUCAAUUUAUUUGCUCUACAGAGGGAGACAAGAGAGCAUUGGAAUGACCGUGAUUCUGUUGAAUGAAUUCCACGAGUCCACAUUUGAAGAACAAGUGAGGAAUAUACAAAUACCACGUGAACAGAACCACAGGGUAUCACAUCCAGCUUAAGGAGUUUCUUUUCUCUUCUGUUAAAUCUUGUGAUCUGAUCUGAAAAAGAAAGGUACCUAAAAGGACCAUGGGAACUAGAACAAAGCACGUCAGUUGUUCGACUCUGUUAAGAAGCCGCUUGCACAGCAGACUCCAUCUGGUUGGCUCAUGUAGCCAUGGAAGACGGAAGGGUUCUUGACUCCCUGACACAGCCAGCAGAAGGAAGUGAAGGAGGGACCUCAGCCUUCCCUUCUACCUCGUGCAUCACUUGUCAACAGAGUCCCGACUACAGUAGACGGGCCCAUCGAGCAAAAGCAGAGGGUUCACAGCAGGCUUUGCGGAUCUGAGGAACCCACAGGUCCAAUAGCGGGCGAAAGUAUCUUUUGGCUUUGUGGCCCAAACCCUUGAGUUUUAUACGUUUCUGAGAAAGAGCAUGUGGAGCUGGAAUAAAUCUUUCGAAAAUCUUGGUUUUUUUCUUGUGUUGUGUUGUUUGUUUGGGCGGUUUUUAAAACUGUAAAUCUACAAAGCAUUUUGAUCACUGUGUUUUCACAUUUACUGUUUGUAGGGGUCCAUUUAAAUUGCUAUUUGAAAGUAAAUAUAACUUGGUAGUGUGCAUAUUUUAUUGUGGUGGUGAUUUAAGGAACAUUAUGUCUCCGUUUCAUAGACUCUGAUCUUCUUAUGUUCCACAAGCAAACACAUAACACUUCCCAGACUAUUGGCAACCUGCAUUACGGUUCUUGUGGUGUCAGAGCUGAACUUCUGUGCAAAUGUCUUCAUAACCUAAACAAAUAAGCAAACCAGUGCAGCUUGAUUCAGAGGUAACGAAUGGACCAGAGUGGCUUCUUUUUGUCUUUUAGGCUGCUCAGCCUUUUAAAAACUGAUCCAACUUAAAGUGGAAUGGUCAUGCAUCAUAUCUAAUUUAUGUCACAUAUCAUAUUUAAUAUUUUGAUGGAGUACUGUCAAAAAAAUAACAUAUUGAGGAAAUUCUAAGUUGGUUUACAUAGAGCAAGAAAGCUCUGGUUUAUAGGCAUUUGAAUGUACUUUUCUGUGACCACAUCAUAUAACUACUUUUCAGCUUUCUCUUUUCUUAAAUGAUCUGAUUCUAACAAUCAUAGCACCUUACACAUGUAUAUGACUUUCGUGCCUCUGCAAACAUUAUCUCUUUUGAUCCUCACAGUGUCAAUACUGAUGUUAUUAUCAGCCCCAUUUCAGGGUGAUUGAAAGCUCAGACUCCAAAAUGAGACUGAUGAGAAUCUGAAUCUUGAUCCUCUUCAUUUUCUAGCUGUAUAAUCUUGAGCAAGCUUCAUAGCCAUUCUGAGCCUCGGUUUACUUAUCUGUAAAACGGGGAUGAUGAUAAUGUUUACUUCCUAAUGUUGCUGCGAGGUUUAAAUAAAUAAAAGUACAGAGUAUUGUGGUUGGCACAGAGUAAGUGCUCAAUAAACGUUGGUGUUUAAAGAGACGGGAAAUGAAACUUAGAGGUACUGAGGGGGGCAUGCCUUUGAUGCAACAAGGGCCAGGACACAGGUUUCCUGGCUUCAAAGCCGACAAUGAUGCCCUCUCACUUUGUUUGCAACGCAGCUGCUUUAAAGUGUGACUCAGCAUUGUUUCUAAUCACCUUCUGCCUACAUACUGAUCAAACGCAAAAACGCUUUUCCCUCUUGACCAGUGGACUUCAAAACCUUCCACAGAUGCCUUCAUGAAAGUCCAUGGACAACUGGGCCUUGUCCUGGUAUAGAAAAAAUGCAGCAAGGUUAAGUCACAAAGGCAAAUCACCGAGAAGAAAUAUUCUACAAAGAGGAGCUUCAGUCGUAGCUCGUGGCCUUAGCAGGAAGCUGUUCCAAGAAGCAAGCUGGUAGUUGGGGCUAAGGAAAGUCUCAAGGUCUUUAUAUCAAAACAGACAUUCUUAGUACAUAUGGUCCAGCUAUUCUGUUGGUUUAAAAGGAAAAGUGCAUCGGCUUGAAUGUAUGGCAAGUGCCCAGAACUUCCGAACAUAGACACCAUUCCCCUUAAAUCAUCAUAUAUAUAUUCUUUUCCACGUCUGUUGAGAAAGCUUAUAAAUAAAACUCAUUUUGGUAUGGUUCUUUGAGUUUUCUAAUGAAGCUCUCUCCCUUGAGUUCUGAGUGGAGCUGUUCUCAAGAACAAAGUCUCUUGUUACCGCCGCACAUCUCUGCUCCCUGUGUGCUUUCUGAGUCACUUCAGUUUAAUUUAUUUACCCUUUGGCUGCCUUCAAUGCAACAUUGGAGUCCUACUGACGUUCGUGUGGAGUAUGUCAUAAUCAAAGGCAAUAAAAGUGGUCAUCUAUUUUUAUCCUUGGAGCCAAUACCAUUCCAACUCAGAAGUUAAUGUUCUAGGCUCUUGAGCCCUAAACCGUGAAGUUUCUGGUCGAGUUCUAGUCCUGUAAUCCUCAGAAACGGAUGGUGGUGUUUCAUAAUUUCAAAUGCAGCAUUUUCUUACAUGGAACAUUGCAAGCGAUUUUCCAGAAGAGGGACACUCUGUUUUGUUUGUGGAAGAACUAAAAGAGGGAGAGAGAUGGGGUACAAAUGUAGAAAUAGAACCAAAAUUUAACUGACCUUUCAGUAGGACAUUUUUUGAGUUGUUUAUUAUUACUAUGGGUGACUUUCAAAACAAUAGCUCUCAAAUAUUUAACCAAAAAUGUGUAGUGCAAAGUGGCUCAAUUUCUUUGUUUGGUGAAAUGUCAGUUGGGGGAUAUCUUUAAUAAACACAAUGUAAAAGAAGAUUUCUUGGGUUUACACGAGGUGUAAGUGGUCAAGCACCAUCUGAAAUUCAUCAUGAAAGAAACAAAAAACAGCGUCAGGGUUUGAGAUUCUUCUUCAACCAGAAUAAGGAAAAUAAAAAAUUCUAACCCAGGAUCUCUGAAGAUGACAUAUAUUUUUCAUGGGGAAAAAAAUAAUGAACGUAAAUAAAUAAAAUCAAAGCUAUCUUGAUGUUAUUAGUGUUAGAGGAAAAUUCCCUGGAACUUAGGCGUCUCUUUAAAUUCUUUCUUCAGCAGGAGACUCCUUCCAAAAAGAAAAGAAAAAUAACAAUUAUGUAGAAUAAUUGCAGAAGUCUAGUUGACAAGAGAAAAAGGACACUAGUUUUCUGGUUUUAAAAUGGGCCCAGUUAGACCUGUCCAAAUUCAGGUCUUCCUAUUAAAUAAGAUGUUACAUUUUCAAAUACAAAUUUCACCUAUUUUGUUUAAUAAACUGUAAUGUCUAAUGCAGUUUCCUUAGACAUUACAAAUAAAAUAUGAUCUCCCUAGUACAUGGCUCAAUCCAUGUAAAAAGAUAGGGAGAUGAUUCACGAAUGAGGAACCUUCAGACAGCAGAGGGAACAGACAGAGGCACCUCCUGUCUGCGAGGACAUGAGAUUUUAUGACCUGGAAAGAUGUCUGUGGAAUGGGCACUUGAAGGUCCAUGCUAGCUGCAAGAGGCAUGGGUCCUGGAACGACUUCCGACCCUAUUCAUUACUGUCUUCCGUCUGGAUGCUGGGUGACUCAGGGGCUUGGUUUUGGCACACACACACUCUCUCCUCUGAAUUUCAAAGGCUGUUUAGUUCGACAGCCACUGAACUGAGUGGUUCGUGACUCAGGGAACAACUGUUUGGUGGCCAAAGAGAAAUGAUCUUGCCAUAAUAAUAGCCUGCAACCUGCUAUCUCCUUCCUUCCUAGAAUCUCUAAGAUUACAGGAAAAACUCAUCCCAGGGAUGCAUCAACUCUGAAGUAGAGAAGUAGAAACAAAGUCGUAGGGAGACCCAGUGCCUGUAGUCUGCAUCAGGAUCACCACUCACCCUCCCAAUCUCACCAUUCCCAAAUCAGAAGCAGAAUGAGUCUGAAAGUCUCCUGGAAUGAAUUACUGAUGAUUUGGGGAAGUGAUUUUUUUCCAACUACUUCUUAUAUCUCAGGAAAGAUGGGUCAUCACCAUCGUCACCCAUCAAUGACGAUGUCCAGAUUAAGAAGAUAGGCACUGAAAAUCUCCCUGAGUCACUCAUCAACUUUUGCACAUACUUGAAAGUCACUUGCAUAUAAAAACAAAGUAUUGGUCCUGAAGCCAAUGAAACGGAAGAUGCUAAGAGUCCAGUGUGAGAAAAAUGUGUGAACCAACAUGAUGCUUACCUCUAUAAUUGUCAAGCAUCUCUCACCAGCACCACAUCUCAGUGGGGAUUUUAGAGCUCACCAAAAUUUAACAUGAAUUUCCUUUUUUAGUUUGAGGACAGGGGAGUGAGGGAGAGAAUAAAGACAGUGACAAGAUCCUUUUCUGAUAUGAAGGCAGUACAGAGGUUAAAAAUGUAGAGUUUUGGAUGCAGACAACCUAGGAUCAAAUCCCAACUCUUACUUAUUAACCUCGGGCAAGUUAUACCAUCUCAGUUUUCUAAUCUGUAAAAUGGGGCUAAUAAAGGCACCUACCACAAAGAGUUGUUAUGAAGAUUAAA